CCGAGUUAUCCAACUCCCAACCCCUGUGAAUUAUACCUUUAAUUGUUGCUUCGGCGGGACUUCGCGCCCGCCGGGGACCCAAACCUUCUGAAUUUUUAAUAAGUAUCUUCUGAGUGGUUAAAAAAAAUGAAUCA
rnacentral:misc_RNA from 1 species